UACGAAGGGGGCUAGCGUUGCUCGGAAUCACUGGGCGUAAAGCGCACGUAGGCGGAUUGUUAAGUCAGGGGUGAAAUCCUGGAGCUCAACUCCAGAACUGCCUUUGAUACUGGCGAUCUCGAGUCCGGGAGAGGUGAGUGGAACUGCGAGUGUAGAGGUGAAAUUCGUAGAUAUUCGGAAGAACACCAGUGGCGAAGGCGACUUACUGGACGACUGUUGACGCUGAGGUGCGAAAGCGUGGGGAGCAAACAGG
rnacentral:rRNA from 1 species